AAGCUGAAUUAGUGAGGAUGACUCCUGCUCCUGUCAUCUCUAAACUCCUCACACAUCUUUACCUGCACAUGAGGAAAAUCACUCCUGUAGAAUGCAGAUGUUCAGAGGGAGAUGAUGCCACAUCUGGUCCAGCUGAUGGAAGGUCUUGAAGUUCUCUGACUGGCCUCGACUGAAGAUGGUCGUCUCACUGGAUUUAAGGUUCAGAUGCUCAGUAACAAACUCCACCAAUGUGCUAACAGGGAAGCUUUAGGUUUAUUAAAUGUUGCUAUGAAGGUAUCACUGUUUUUCUUUGUGAAUGCAAUGUGCUCCAACUGAAACUUGAAUUAGAACUUAGAAGUAAAUCCUUCCAUCUGAAAGGAUUUAGUUGCAUUAAUAACCUCAUAACAUUCUAAUUUUUAUUCCAGUCUUAGGUUGGAAAUAGAAUCUCUGUAUUGAUUCAGGUAAAAACUGAACUUCACAGCAUGUUGAAGCAAAACAACCAGAUGAAAACUGUGAUGGUGUUGGAUUGUCAGACCGUAAUGUUGCAGCUCAAAGCAGCUUUUCUAGCUCAGUUCAUUCUGACAUUCAGCUAUGAAUCAACACAGCAGAUGGUGAUCUAUGCUGUGGAAGUCUCACAUCUCCUGAUUUAAUGGAGCUGCUUUGCACUUUUUACACUGUUUAUUCACCAACACUUUAUUUAAUAAAAGUCCCAUCUAGUUUGUAUGAGGAAUGUGAUGUUUUAAUUUCUCUGUGAAUAACUGCAGUCUAAUGCAACAGCUGGAAUUGUAACAUCUGUCCUGAUAUUGAUCAUGAAGUAUUGAUCAGAAUACUUAUGGUCAGCAGUCAUCCCUGAAGUUUUAUAUUAAAAUCUUUACUUGUGUUGUGAACUUUGGUAAGAAGCAGAAAUGUUAGCGUUGCCAUGGAUACAUGAGUGUUAAAUUCUGUCCAUGUUUCAUUUUGGGAAAUGCAGUCCAGUUCCAGAAUGUGGAGGAAUUUAGUCUCACAAUCACAGACAACAAAUAUUAUCUGAAAGUCGGGUUAUUGUUGUUUAUCAGCACAAUACAAAAAAGAUUAAUGUUAGAAAUAUUCCAGUUAAGACUCUAGAAUAUGAUGAUUUAUGUAAAUUUACCUCAAUAAUAUGAAUGUUCAGGUUAAGAUUGUGCAAUUAUUUUUAUUAUGUAAGUUUAGCUGAUUAAAGUUUAUGACUGCACUAAAAUACUAUUUAAAUUUACAUCAUUAUAAUAUUUAGGGUCAGACCCUACAGUAUUGAGAUUAAGAAAUCAAAUAUUCUAUAAAAUGUAAAUACACUGAACUCAUUUGGAUCUAUUUAAGUGAGACUCUACAAUAUUAUGUGACACAAAUCUAUCUAAAUCAAAAUUUUAAUAAUUUUCACGCCAAACAUUUACUGGACUGAUUUAAAUAUUAACAUCACUCCUUUCUAAUCCUCUGCUGUAUGUUCAAACCUGAGGCCUUAAACAGAAACACAAGUAUCUGUUUGAAGGAACUUCUGCAGAGUCCUGGUUCCACAACAUGAUGAUAGAAUUAUAGACAAACUUUAACAAAAGCUGCCUGAGAGUUUACAGGUUUUUAUGUUGGAUUUCUUCAGUAAUUUAAUGAGAGUUGUCAGCAAAAAUCAAGUGUUCAUUUGAUGAACUUCAUUUCCUAAAACAUCCAGAAUUGGAGCUCAUAUCUUUGGCAGCUGUAAAGUUUCUGCUCCUUCAAAGUUCACAACACAAUGAAUGAAUUCCUAAAACACUCUCAAUGCUGGAGAGCGUCUGUGAUGCUGAAGCAGUGACCAGUUUUUCUGUUUCUUCUCUGGAGAUACACAAUGAGGGACGUCUGCAGCGACUGAGAAAGAGUCUCACCACAUCCUGACAUGAGGAAAAAGACUUUAUUGAAGACUACAAUGAGAAAAACUAUCAGACAGCAGACGGCUGCAUUCAAGAGAAGAAGACCAUCAAACAUCCACGUCAGCUGAUGGAGGUCCAAGAGUCUCACCCAACAAACAACCUACAGAGUGAAGACCUUGAAUCUGAUUGGAUGGCCUCCUAUUCAGCCACAUGUGUGAACAAAU